AAGAUCAUACUUCACAGGAUCAUUUCUGUAGUAUAUCUUCAGGUUGACAAACUUUUAUAGUUUCCAGCCCCUCGGUCACGAUGAUGAGACUCUCUCAUUCACCUGAGCGUGAGGUUGUGUGAUCUGAUCUUCUCCAAGAUUAGAUCACACCUCGAUGAUCGCGCCCUAACUCUCGAGUUAGGCGGGUGAAUGAGGUGUCUGAGUGGC
rfam:Asian citrus Psyllid, Diaphorina citri - Florida Strain, whole genome shotgun sequence.